rnacentral:lncRNA from 1 species
GGAAAAAGCAGUUUGAAGCCCAAAGUGAGGAAGUAACACAGCAAUUCUCAAAGCUGGCUAGUUCCUCUGGCAGCCCUUCCCAAGGACCUCUGUGAGACAAAGUCAGAAAUGGCUUUCCUGGGGACCAAGAGAGCCCACAGGGCUCUUCCCCAUGCUUCUUCUACCGCUGUGUUUGGCUCAGCUCUCUAAAAUUGUUUCUGUUCCAGGGCCUGCAGGAGCAAUUCACUUCUUUCAAAGGGUCUAUGGAUUCUCUUGGCUUUCCUGGUAUGUUCCUGUGGUAGUUCUUGGAGCAAAAGUUUACAACGUGAGUCUCCACAUGCUGCUCUGUCUGUCUGAGUGGGGGCUAUAAUGUAGUCCUGUCUCCUAUCUGCCAUUUUGCUAACCCCUCAAAAUUUGUCUUCCUCUUCAUUCAUUUUCAUUGUUCUAUAAUACUUUUUUAUAUGACUAUAUUAUAAUUUGUUCAUUUUUCUGUCAAUAAAUAUUUAAAAUGUUGCUCUGUGAUAUAGUUUGGCUGUGUCCCCACCCAAAUCUCAUCUCGAAUUGUAGCUCCCAUAAUUCCCUUGUAUUAUGGGAGGGACCCAGUUGGAGUUAACUGAAUCGUGGGGCAGUUUCCCCCAUACCGUUCUCGUGGUAGUGAAUAAGUCUCAUGAGAUCUGAUGGUUUUAUAAGGGGAAACCCUUUUCACUUGGCUCUCAUUCUCUUCUUUGUCUGCUGCCAUGUGACAUUUGCCUUUUACCUUCUGCCAUGAUUGUGAGGCCUCCCCAGCCACACAGCGGCGGAUUGUCCGCAGGCGCAGGUGUUCUGGAGAUGAUGCCCUUCCCAGAGCUGGAGGAGAGACUGACCUGCCUAGGGGGUUUGAAGGAAGACUGUGGCUUGGCCUGUGGUGGUCACUGUUGGGAGCCUGUCUGGCUGCAGGACUGCUCCCCACCUGGGCCCUGGACUGUGGGAAGUGACCCCUGCAGCCACGUGGAACU